rnacentral:rRNA from 1 species
AUGAAUGAGAAUAAUGUGGAUUGGCAAUUUACGGGAUUCCAUGGUCAUCUGGCUUGGAAUGAAACACACUUAUCUUGGACAAACCUCCGCAAUCUACAUGCUCGUGCUUCUUACACUUGGGUUGUUAUUGGAGAUUUCAAUGAAAUUAUGCACUCUCAUGAAAAGGAUGGAGGUAAUCCAAAACCAAAUGCAAUGAGGCAAGAGUUUUGGAAUUGUUUGGGAGACUGUAGCUUACAAGAUUUGGUGUAUAUUAGCGACAUUUUCACCUUGAGGAGAGGGGAUAUUAGGGAAAUACUUGAUAGGGUUGUAUGUAAUGUGGAAUGGUCGACCAUUAUCAAUGAGGAAUAUAUGCAUUCAGACCAUCGCCCCUUGAUCCUUGACACAAAAUAUUUUGAUGGGAAUAUUUUCAAUUGCCCAAAAGGCCGUGUGAAGCAAUUUGAAGUGAGAUGGCUCAAAGAAGAGACAGUUGGGGAAAUUGUGCGCACGGCAUGGGAAAAGGCUAAAUUAGCGGACGUUGGUCCUUUUCUCGCUACACGUACAUGA